ensembl:lncRNA
AGGCAGCCCCAGGUCCAGCGAGAGAGUAGCAGGUGGCGGAGGUGGGGGGAGGGGAUGCACUGGGAGCACAGCUUCCUGCUAGCUAGCGGGCCUAUAAGCUUGCUGUGGUGUGGGGAGUAUUCUAUGGGGACCCACCCCUUCUUCUCUCCCCUUCCCAGCACGGGCACAGACCAGGCUCUUCUCCCAGGUUCCCUUUGAUGUGGCUUUCCACUUCCCCGCCCACAGAGUAUUGCUCCCUUCCUCUGCAACAGCUUUGUUUUCUAGUCUCCCAGGCAGUCUCUGCCCCGUCAAACUUGACAGACUGGACCAGUUUCUAGACCUCCCAAGCAGUCUCUGCUCCGCCCCGCCCCCCAGCCCUUUCCCAGGGACUAACCUCCAGAGCUGAGGUCUCGGUGCCCAGCCCCCACCCAGGUGUCUCAAUUUUUGGUGACUGUGCCCAUAGUUCAGAUGGUCUGUUCGGUUCUUGAUUGGCUUUUCAGUACUCCAACUUACUGCUACACUCUUCUUUGUAUCUGGAGAUUCCUCCGGUUCGUUUGAUCUUUUCCCUGAGUAGGUGACUUUCCAGGGUGCAGGAUCCCUUUCUCCUCCUCAGCUCGAAUUCACCUUCUCUCACUCUCCUCUUUUCUCUUGUUUUGCCUAGUAAUGUCACAAACUUCUUGCCAUUAUUGGAGUUUAGGUUCUUCUGUCAGCGAUUGGUUGCUGUUCUGUGUGAGUCAUUUAUUCUGUAGAUGUGCUUUUUUUGUUGUGUUUUUGGGAGAGGGCGAGCGUGUCCCCCUACUCUUCCGCCAUCUUGUCUCCUCUCUCUACCUGCAUUUUACACAAAUCCUAUAUUGUGCCAUAUCAUACCCCUCGUUUAAAAUUCUUUGUUUUCCUAAUCAACAGAGAAUAAAAUCAAAAUUCCAUUAAGCCUUAUUUGAUCUAAUUCCUGCCUUUUCCUCCAGUAUCUCCUCUUGUCAUCUUGACUUGUUUAGUGCCUCCAAAAAUCCAACCUCUUAGCUGCCUUAUUUCAUUUUCACAUUUUGAUGGCCUUUAUAACACUACCCUCCUAACACCAUCUUCAAAACUUACAAGGAUACUUUCUUCAGUUUUUCAACUUAAAUCCCAUUGAGACUUUUUCUAACCACUCAAUAAAAAUGCAUUUCUGCCCUCCUCCAGUUAUUCUGCUUCAUAACUUUGUGUAUUUCUUUUCCUAACAACACUUAUCCUAUUCUUAGGAUUUUUAUUUUGGUUCUCUAUUUUGACGUUUUUCUGUUUCCCUAACUAGAAUAUAAAUUUGAUAAGUGCACAAAUUAUUAUUUUUAAUUUUAAUUUAAUUUAAUUUAAUUUUUUGCUUUUUAGGGCCGCACUGGCAGCAUAUGGAAGUUCCCAGGCUAGGGGGUCAAAUCAGAGCUAUAGCUGCCAGCCUAUGCCACAGCCACAGCAAUGCAGGAUCCAUGCCACAUCUGCAGUCUACACCACAGCUCAUGGCAACACCAGAUCCUUAACCCACUGGGUGAGGCCAGGUAUUGAACCUGCAUCCUCAUGGAUACUACUUGGGCUCAUUACUGCUGAGCCACAAAUUCUGACUUUAUUUUUCACCAUUUCUUUGUAGCCACUCAGGACCCUAUGGGGCCUUUCUGGGACAGGUGUCUCUCCCAGAUCCUCUGCUUUAGCUCCUCUCUAAAGUACCUAGAUAACAGUAUCUGAUGCACAUUUCCUGAGUUGUUUUACAAAUGUGAAUCACCAUGGCACCCCACCCCCACCCCUGACCAUUCCCCCAUGAAAGAGGUUAACUAUUUGAAGACCAUGGGCUCAUAGCCUCCAGACAUCCUGGAGGCUAAGGACUGAUAAUAUUCACCUGACACAGCCCUAUUACCUCACUAUUAGCCAAUCAGAGAAUUGGGCAGAAGCUGAUCACUUACCCUGCGACUUGCUCCCUCAUCUGGCUUUAAAAAUGGCCUGGAAAUUUGGGGUUAAUAGAUGCAAACUAUUGCCUUUGAUGGAUAAGCAAUGAGAUCCUGCAGUAUAGCACUGGGAACUAUGUCUAGUUACUUAUGAUGGAGCAUGAUAAUGUGAGAAGAAGGAAUGUAUACGUGUAUAUGUGACUGCGUCACCUUGCUCUACAGUAGAAAAUUGACAGAACACUGUAAAACAGCUAUAAUGGAAAAAACAAAAAUCAUUAUAAAAAAUAAAUAAAAAUGCUUUACAGGAGUUCUCCUUGUGGCUUAGUGGUUAAGAACCUGACAUAGUGUCUAUGAGGAUGCUAGUUCCCUGGCCUCAGUGGGUAAAGGAUUUAGUGUUGCUACCAGCUGCAGCAAAGGCUGCAGAUGUUGCCUGGAUCCAGUCUUGCCCAGGCUAUGGUGUAGGCUUGAGCUGCAGCUCUGAUUCUACCCCUAUCCUAGGAACUUCCAUAUGCCACAGAUGCAGCUGUAAAAAGAAAAAAUGCUUUACAAUUUUGUUCAGGGAGUUGCGGUCUUUUGAGUGGCGCUAGUCACCCAUCUCCUUGCAUGGUCUGCAACAAAUCUUUCUCUGCUCCAAAGUCCGACAUUUCAUUUUGUUUGGCCUCAUUUGCUCUGUCUGCACUAACAUUUAGCACUGAGCCCUCAUGUAAUAAAUGUUCUUUAAAUUAAUGAAGGUGAAGAGCGAAAGGAGGGAGUGAAAGAAAGAGAGGGAAAAGGAAAAUGAGAAAAUAGAGAAAGAAUGGAAGAAAUAAUCUGUGAUCUUGGAAAGCUCCUCAAUACCUGGCAGUAGUGUUAAGUUUUCUCACUGAGCUCUGUUUCGUAACAACUGAGGUCCUGUACCAUUUGUACAUAGAAUAGAAAUUAUAUAACAGCACUAUGUUCAGUAGUGACAUUAAGAAUGAUAUACUGAAAUCAGGACUCUUUCGGUUAAAGGUCAGACUUUGUUACUAGGUGCUCAUAAUUCAGCUUUUCUAAAAUGAGUUACUAAUAAGGAAUUCCCUGGUGGUCUGGCAGUUAAAGGAUCUGGCAUUGUCACGGCUGUGGCUCAAGUCAUUUCUGUGGCAUGUGGUCAAGCUGGCCACAUGCAUACAGCAUAAGCACAAAAUGAGUGCAUAAUGAAUACUUUUUGAAUAAAUAAACACUAAUGCAAAAUUGCUUUCUACAGGGUACUCAGGAAACCUACUGUCUCCUCAAUACUAUGAUCCAUAUCCCAAGAUCCAGUGCUAAAAGACAUUAAAGUUAUACUUUUUUAUGUCACAGUAAGAGAUUUGUUGCAAAUCAAGUCACUAUUGUGCAAAUGGUGAUCUCAUUAUCACAUAUCAAUAAAAGGUGAUUUGUUUUUCAUUUAAUUAAAUUGCAAGAAUAUUUACUUAGCAUAUCAAUACCUUUUGCUCCCAAGAAUAACCUGGAAUAAUUCUUAGAUCUCAAACUUCCAUCCAAAUCAUCACAAAAAGGAUAAACUAAAAGUACAUUUUCCGUACCACUUUCUCAUUAAUUUUUUGUAAUAUUGUCUUUAAUUCAAAAUGUUUAGCCCUUAACUACCUGUCUUUUUAUAUGAAACCAGAGAAGUAUGCAACUUUUAUGAAAUACUGCUACCAGUCUGAAGAGGUUGAUAUGAGGAUCCUAAACACACUAGAUAUUUUUCACAUCAGGGGAAUCUGAAAAAUGCACCCUACUAAUAUUUGAAACUUACUGCAACUGAUAGUAUUAUUUCCAAAUUGUACUAAUGAUGUGAAAUGUGUUGUAUGUAAGUGAUUAUAUCCGGUUCAAGUCUGUUUUCUCACAUUACUUAGUUUAAUGCGACAGAGGUUUAGCAGUUCAGGUAGCCAAUAAAAGAAUAAUUAAAAUUGUACGUUCUCAAAUUCUGAUGUUAACCAAAUAUAAUUUGUAUUUCAACAAUUCAGUAUGUUGAUGAAACGAGUCCCUUAAUAUAUGGUGUAGUUUAUUGUGCAUUUACUUGAAAAUUAAUAUUUUUCUCAUAUCACUCUUCAGAAACUGUUUUAUUCAAGGUCACCAACCUUCCACAUGUUGCCAAAUGCAAUCACCGGAUCUCAGCUAUAACUUUAUUUUAUUUAUCAGAAGCUUUGACAUGCUUGAUUGCAAUCUUUGUUUUUCUUUUCCAUUACUCCUUUUCUAUUCUUUCUCUCUUCUUUGAUUUAUGUUUAUAUGCUUUAGUCUUUAUCCUUUUCUCUUAAUGAUCUCCUCCAGUCUCAUGAUUUUAAAUACCUUAUAAAUAUCAACCACUUUUGUAUAUAUGUCUUUGCAAUUUUUUUUUGAAUAUUCAAGAGUUUUUUCAGAUAAGUCUUUGAAAAUAUCUAGGGUAUUCAGACGUUGAUAUUAAACCUUCAAUAAAUUAACAAAACUGAAGUUUAUUCUUUGCUCAUAUAAAGCCUUCUACUAGUUUGCAUGACUCACCAGGGGAGUUUUCAUCCAUAGGUAGGCUUAGAAUCCCAGAUUGUUUUGAACUUAAAGCACCAUCAUAUUACAUGAGUCCAUAGUUCCCAUGAGGAGACCAGGGAAUUGAACUCAUCCAAUUAAAUAACCCUACUUUUGAUUGAAUGAAACAAAUUAUUACCACUCACAUUUAAUUGGCCAAAGUAAAUCACAUGGCCAUGACUAAUUUCUGGUCGAUGGAGAAAUGAGACUUCCUGUGUGCCUGGAAGUAUAAAGCUAAAUAAUAAAGUGCCUAUCAAAGAUGCCUCUGUCAUAGGGAUUUCUUUUUUUAAGGUUUGAUGUGUUAUUAAAUGCUCUGAGGAGUUUCCAUUGUGGCUCAGUGGGAUAAGAACCCAACAUAGUUUCUGUGAGGAUGUGGGUUCCAUGCUUGGCCUUGCUCAGUGGGUUAAGGAUCCACCAUUGCCACAGCUGCAGUAUAGCUCACAGAUGUGGCUCAGAUCCGGUGUUGUUGUGGUGUAGGCCAGGCAGGCAGCCGUAGCUCUGAUUCAACCCCUAGCCUGGGAACUUGAAUAUGCCACAGGUGUGGUGGUAAAAAAAGAAAAAAAAUAUUUGAAUUAUGCACAAAUUAAACACAAGUGUUUGUCAGUAAUUAUUAUGAUUUUGGUAAAUCAUAAGUCUUAGCUGAAGAAUUGAUAAAAUUGUAGGUAGUGGGUCAGUGAUAGGAAAGGAAAAUAGUAGAUUAACAUCUGUUAGGAAAAAAACACUUAGAAGGUCUAACUUCUAGAAGAGGACAUAUCUGAAGUGGUGAAUAUAGAAAAAAAAUUUAAAAGUCAAAAAUAUAAACUGUAAAAUAAAGAUCUUUUUUCCUGAUGGUCUAGUUACCAUAAUCCAUUAAAAUUAGACAUUAUGGAGAAUUAUACUCUUGAACUCUACUGAUACAUCAUGAGAUAACACAGAAGACUAGCAAACUUCCAUUAAGUAUUAUAAAAUCUUCAUCAUUAAUAUGUAGUUAUGCAAUGAUUAGAAAAGAAAUCAACAGAGACAUAAACUGAAACUGUUGGCUUUAUGAAAUAAAAGAGCAAACUCUACUUACCACAUUCCUCUUUUAUUCUGCAGGUAAGACCUGUAUCUUCACUCAAAACUAUCCUCAAUACAUAAUUGCUGGUUAAUGUAUGAAAUAAUUCGCUAAGAGGAUGAAUAAUAAAAUAUGGUUUAAAACAAAUAAAAAUCCAUAGUAAACCAAUAAAGAUAAAAUUAUAUAAAAUUAGUGGAUAACUUCAUAAAUGAAGAAAGAUCUUAUGUUUGCUGUCUUUACAACCAUUUGUGCAGAUAUUAUGACAUAUAUCCUGAGAAGGCAAAAUGUUCAACUCCAAACUUAUAACCCAAGGUGUCAUUGGCUGUAGUGGUAGUUUUAAUUUUUAGAAUAUUCAGAAAAGGGAGAUAGAUGGCAAAACUUUUGAAUGAAUUAGAUGUAAGAAAAAGAUGGUAAAAUAGGUCAUUUCUACCUUGUAUUCUCAUAAUUUCUCCAAGAAAAUUCACAAAUCACUAAUCCUGCCGUCACAACAGCUAUUUUAAAUGUCUAUUGGGCAAAACAAAUUGAAUUGAAAUAAAAUAAUCUAUUUGGAGGGUAAUGAUCCUCAGUGUAAGGUGUUAUAAAUAAAUGUUUAAAAUUGAGUAGAAAUAGAAAGCUACUGCAAGUUGACGGAUUAUAAUCACUUCCUUAGUACAAAAUGUUCACAUCGCUUCCUAAGGGGAUGAUAAAAUAUGUUGCAAUCCUUAGACUUCUAAAAAAGAAAAAAAAAAAA